UGGGGAAUUGUUCGCAAUGGGCGCAAGCCUGACGACGCAACGCCGCGUGGAGGACGAAGAUUUUCGGAUCGUAAACUCCUUUCGAUCGGGAAGAGCAGCUUUCUAGUUAAUAGCUGGAGAGUCUGACGGUACCGAGAGAAGAAGCCCCGGCUAACUCUGUGCCAGCAGCCGCGGUAAUACAGGGGGGGCAAGCGUUGUUCGGAAUUACUGGGCGUAAAGGGCUCGUAGGCGGCCAACUAAGUCCGACGUGAAAUCCCAAAGCUUAACUUUGGAACUGCGUCGGAUACUGGAUGGCUUGAAAUCGGGAGAGGGAUGCGGAAUUCCAGGUGUAGCGGUGAAAUGCGUAGAUAUCUGGAGGAAUACCGGUGGCGAAGGCGGCAUCCUGGACCGACAUUGACGCUGAUGAGCGAAAGCUAGGGGAGCAAACGG
rnacentral:rRNA from 1 species